UACGGGGGGGGCAAGCGUUGUUCGGAAUUACUGGGCGUAAAGGGUUCGUAGGCGGCCAACUAAGUCCGACGUGAAAUCCCCAGGCUUAACCUGGGAACUGCGUCGGAUACUGGUUGGCUUGAAUCCGGGAGAGGGAUGCGGAAUUCCAGGUGUAGCGGUGAAAUGCGUAGAUAUCUGGAGGAACACCGGUGGCGAAGGCGGCAUCCUGGACCAUUACUGACACUGAAAAGCGAAAGCCAGGGGAGCAAACGGG
rnacentral:rRNA from 1 species